rnacentral:rRNA from 1 species
GACGAACGCUGGCGGCGUGCUUAACACAUGCAGGUCGAACGGUAAGGCCCUUCGGGGUACACGAGUGGCGAACGGGUGAGUAACACGUGGGUGAUCUGCCCUGCACCUCGGGAUAAGCCUGGGAAACUGGGUCUAAUACCGGAUAGGACCACUGCCUGCAUGGGGGGUGGUGGAAAGCUUUUGCGGUGUGGGAUGGGCCCGGGGCCUAUCAGCUUGUUGGUGGGGUGAUGGCCUACCAAGGCGACGACGGGGAGCCGGCCUGAGAGGGUGACCGGCCACACUGGGACUGAGAUACGGCCCAGACUCCUACGGGAGGCAGCAGUGGGGAAUAUUGCACAAUGGGCGCGAGCCUGAUGCAGCGACGCCGCGUGAGGGAUGACGGCCUUCGGGUUGUAAACCUCUUUCAGCACCGACGAAGCGCAAGUGACGGUAGGUGCAGAAGAAGGACCGGCCAACUACGUGCCAGCAGCCGCCGUAA